GACGAACGUUGGCGGCGUGCUUAACACAUGCAAGUCGAACGGAAAGGCCCUGCUUUUGUGGGGUGCUCGAGUGGCGAACGGGUGAGUAACACGUGAGUAACCUGCCCUUGACUUUGGGAUAACUUCAGGAAACUGGGGCUAAUACCGGAUAGGAGCUCCUGCUGCAUGGUGGGGGUUGGAAAGUUUCGGCGGUUGGGGAUGGACUCGCGGCUUAUCAGCUUGUUGGUGGGGUAGUGGCUUACCAAGGCUUUGACGGGUAGCCGGCCUGAGAGGGUGACCGGCCACAUUGGGACUGAGAUACGGCCCAGACUCCUACGGGAGGCAGCAGUGGGGAAUAUUGCACAAUGGGCGGAAGCCUGAUGCAGCAACGCCGCGUGCGGGAUGACGGCCUUCGGGUUGUAAACCGCUUUCGCCUGUGACGAAGCGUGAGUGACGGUAAUGGGUAAAGAAGCACCGGCUAACUACGUGCCAGCAGCCGCGGUGAUACGUAGGGUGCGAGCGUUGUCCGGAUUUAUUGGGCGUAAAGGGCUCGUAGGUGGUUGAUCGCGUCGGAAGUGUAAUCUUGGGGCUUAACCCUGAGCGUGCUUUCGAUACGGGUUGACUUGAGGAAGGUAGGGGAGAAUGGAAUUCCUGGUGGAGCGGUGGAAUGCGCAGAUAUCAGGAGGAACACCAGUGGCGAAGGCGGUUCUCUGGGCCUUUCCUGACGCUGAGGAGCGAAAGCGUGGGGAGCGAACAGGCUUAGAUACCCUGGUAGUCCACGCUGUAAACGGUGGGUACUAGGUGUGGGGUCCAUUCCACGGGUUCCGUGCCGUAGCUAACGCUUUAAGUACCCCGCCUGGGGAGUACGGCCGCAAGGCUAAAACUCAAAGGAAUUGACGGGGCCCCGCACAAGCGGCGGAGCAUGCGGAUUAAUUCGAUGCAACGCGUAGAACCUUACCUGGGUUUGACAUGGAUCGGGAGUGCUCAGAGAUGGGUGUGCCUCUUUUGGGGUCGGUUCACAGGUGGUGCAUGCCUGUCGUCAGCUCGUGUCGUGAGAUGUUGGGUUAAGUCCCGCAACGAGCGCAACCCUUGUUCACUGUUGCCAGCACGUUAUGGUGGGGACUCAGUGGAGACCGCCGGGGUCAACUCGGAGGAAGGUGGGGAUGACGUCAAGUCAUCAUGCCCCUUAUGUCCAGGGCUUCACGCAUGCUACAAUGGCUGGUACAGAGAGUGGCGAGCCUGUGAGGGUGAGCGAAUCUCGGAAAGCCGGUCUCAGUUCGGAUUGGGGUCCGCAACUCGACCUCAUGAAGUCGGAGUCGCUAGUAAUCGCAGAUCAGCAACGCUGCGGUGAAUACGUUCCCGGGGCU
rnacentral:rRNA from 1 species